rnacentral:rRNA from 1 species
AUACGGAGGGUGCAAGCGUUGUUCGGAAUCAUUGGGCGUAAAGAGCACGUAGGCGGUUUGGUAAGUCGGAUGUGAAAGCCCAGGGCUCAACCUUGGAAGUGCAUUCGAAACUGCCUCACUAGAGUCACGGAGAGGGUAGUGGAAUUCCCAGUGUAGAGGUGAAAUUCGUAGAUAUUGGGAGGAACACCAGCGGCGAAGGCGGCUACCUGGACGAUGACUGACGCUGAGGUGCGAGAGCGUGGGGAGCAAACAGGAUUAGAAACCCUAGUAGUCC